rnacentral:rRNA from 1 species
CUACGGGCGGCUCCAGUGAGGAAUAUUGCACAAUGGGGGGAACCCUGAUGCAGCAACGCCGCGUGGAGGAUGACGCAUUUCGGUGUGUAAACUCCUUUUAUAUGUCAAGAAAAUGACGGUAGCAUAUGAAUAAGCACCGGCUAACACCGUGCCAGCAGCCGCGGUGAAUACGGAGGGUGCAAGCGUUACUCGGAAUCACUGGGCGUAAAGGACGCGUAGGCGGGUUGGAAAGUCAGGUGUGAAAUCCUACAGCUUAACUGUAGAACUGCACUUGAAACUUCUAAUCUAGAGUAUGGGAGGGGGAGAUGGAAUUAGUGGUGUAGGGGUAACAUCCGUAGAUAUCACUAGGAAUACCUAAAGCGAAGGCGAUCUCCUGGAACAUUACUGACGCUAAGGCGUGAAAGCGUGGGGAGCAAACAGGAUUAGAUACCCCAGUAGUC